GGGUUGGCGAUUCAGUCCCAGAUAAUUCGUGCAAAGUCCGACUGUAGGAGGUUUUGUAUGACUUAUCUGGAAUUGUUCACAACC
rnacentral:pre_miRNA from 1 species